UCUCAGUGUCUUAACGUUCUGAGGUGGG
rnacentral:sRNA from 1 species